AUUGAACGCUGGCGGCAGGCCUAACACAUGCAAGUCGAGCGGCAGCGGGAAGUAGCUUGCUACUUUGCCGGCGAGCGGCGGACGGGUGAGUAAUGUCUGGGAAACUGCCUGAUGGAGGGGGAUAACUACUGGAAACGGUAGCUAAUACCGCAUAACGUCGCAAGACCAAAGAGGGGGACCUUCGGGCCUCUUGCCAUCAGAUGUGCCCAGAUGGGAUUAGCUAGUAGGUGGGGUAACGGCUCACCUAGGCGACGAUCCCUAGCUGGUCUGAGAGGAUGACCAGCCACACUGGAACUGAGACAUGGUCCAGACUCCUACGGGAGGCAGCAGUGGGGAAUAUUGCACAAUGGGCGCAAGCCUGAUGCAGCCAUGCCGCGUGUAUGAAGAAGGCCUUCGGGUUGUAAAGUACUUUCAGCGGGGAGGAAGGCGUUGUGGUUAAUAACCACAGCGAUUGACGUUACCCGCAGAAGAAGCACCGGCUAACUCCGUGCCAGCAGCCGCCGUAAGAC
rnacentral:rRNA from 1 species